UUUCUCCGCCGGCGACCGGCGCACGGGUGAGUAACACGUAUGCAACCUGCCCCUGUCAGGGGGACAACCCGCCGAAAGGCGGGCUAAACCCGCGUACAUGCCACCGGGGCAUCCCGGAGGCAGGAAAGGCUUCGGCCGGACAGGGAUGGGCAUGCGGCGCAUUAGGCAGUAGGCGGGGUAACGGCCCACCUAACCGGCGAUGCGUAGGGGUUCUGAGAGGAAGGUCCCCCACACUGGUACUGAGACACGGACCAGACUCCUACGGGAGGCAGCAG
rnacentral:rRNA from 1 species